rnacentral:rRNA from 1 species
UACGAAGGGGGCUAGCGUUGCUCGGAAUCACUGGGCGUAAAGGGUGCGUAGGCGGGUCUUAAGUCAGGGGUGAAAUCCUGGAGCUCAACUCCAGAACUGCCUUUGAUACUGGCGACCUUCGAGUCCGGGAGAGGUGAGUGGAACUCCGAGUGUAGAGGUGAAAUUCGUAGAUAUUCGGAAGAACACCAGUGGCGAAGGCGGCUCACUGGCCCGGUACUGACGCUGAGAUACGAAAGCGUGGGGAGCAAACAGG